UUUUACCCUUGUUCCAAAAAGUUGAGUCUCAAAGUGAUACCUUAACAACUUCACAAAUUCUCAAAGAUGGUGAAACAAUAAUUUCAUCAGAUGGAACCUUUGAAUUGGGUUUUUUCUCUGCAGGCAAAAAUAGUUCAUCAAGAAAUCGUUAUAUUGGCAUUUGGUACAAAAAGAUUUCAGCUUUAACACCAAUUUGGGUUGCAAAUAGACAAAUUCCAGUGAAGGGUAUUUCUGGAAUCUUGAAAAUUGUUGAACCAGGUUAUCUUGUUUUGAUUAAUAAUGUUACUAAUGACACUAUUUGGAGUACUAAUUUUUCAUCAAUUAGUGUGAAAAAUCCAGUUGCUAAGUUGUUGGAUACAGGGAAUUUUGUGAUUAAAGAUGCAAAUGAUGAUUUGUUGUUGUGGCAGAGUUUUGAUUAUCCUAGUGAUACUUUGUUAGCAAGUAUGAAACUUGGAAGAGAUUUAGUGACUGGGUUGGAAAGGUAUCUUCGGUCAUGGAAAAGUGACGAUGAUCCUGCUCCCGGGGAUUAUACAUAUCAUUGUGAUCCUACAGGUUAUCCACAGGACCUUAUGAGAAGAGGUCCUAAUGUAGUUUAUAGAGCCGGGCCAUGGAAUGGUCUUAGAUGGAGUGGAGCACCAAACAUGGUGAACAACUCGGUCACCUCUUUUGGGCUAGUCAUGAACGAUCAAGAAAUUUACUACAAAUACGAACUAGUAAAUAAAUCCUUGCUUACUACUUUAGUGCUAACGCCUAAUGGUAAUGCGAUGCGUAUGAUUUGGAUAGAAAAGAGAGAGGGUUGGGUUAAUUACCAUUCCGCGGAUGCAGAUCACUGUGACACUUACAAAUUAUGUGGUGCAUAUGGCACUUGCACAAUGUUUAGCGAUCCUGUGUGUCGUUGUUUGGAUAAAUUCGUUCCUAAACAUCCGGAUGAUUGGAACAGGGCUGACUGGUCAAGUGGUUGUGUUCGAAAUCAUCCAUUGAAUUGUUCAGAAGAUGGAUUUAUAAAGUAUACUGGUGUCAAAUUGCCAGAUACUCGGUACUCUUGGUUUAACGAGACUAUGACACUCGACGAAUGCAAGUUAGUUUGCUUGAGAAAUUGUUCGUGUAUGGGAUAUACUAGUCUGGACAUCAGAAACGGAGGAAGUGGAUGCUUGCUAUGGAUUGGGGAGCUCGUUGACCUCAGGCAGCUAUCGGAAUCAGGACAGGAUAUCUAUAUUAGGAUGGCUGCUUCCGAGAUAAGUCCUAUCGAUGGAUCAAGUCGAAAGAAAAGUAUUAUACUUGCAAUUGCUUUGCCAUUAUCGAUUGCAGCGAUUCUGUUAAUGGUUGGAGUCUGCCUGAUUCUUCGUAGACAGAAAAAGAGGGCGGAAACAAUGCUCAUAGAAAAAAGGAAAUUGGACGACAGCAAUAACAAAGAUAAAAACAAUCAAAUUCGCCGUGAAGCUUUGGAGCUACCACUCGUUGAUUUGUCCACAAUAAUGAAGGCUACCAAUAACUUUUCACUUGAGAACAAGAUUGGAGCAGGCGGCUUUGGGAAAGUUUUCAAGGGAGUGCUAGAAGAAGGACAGGAAGUAGCUGUCAAGCGGCUCUCUGAAACGUCCAGACAAGGAAACGAUGAGUUCAAGAAUGAAGUCAGCUGCAUCGCGGAACUUCAGCAUCGAAAUCUUGUGAAGCUUCUUGGAUGCUGCAUCGAAGAAGAAGAGAAGAUACUGGUGUACGAAUACAUGCCCAACAAAAGCCUG
rnacentral:misc_RNA from 1 species